GUCACGCCCCCUUCCUCUUUAGCCACGCCCACAAGGGAAGGGAGGAGAAAUGCGUCAGUCUUCAUUUGUCUAUGACCCGCCCCCUUUCCCGUUCCCCAGAUUUAAAGGGGCCGCAGCAUAUAUUUACAUUCCUUUUGUUUAUUUAUUCUGUUGUCCUUUCCAGCUUCAAGAUUGGAAUGGAGAAGCUUUUUGACCUUCCAGAAAUAACUGGAGGUUGUAACUCCCAUCGUCCCCAUCCUGCAUGUGUGUGCGGAAAGGAAUGAGGAAGUACUCCAUCAAGGACUCAGUGUCACAUGUGGCCGAUGAAGCAGCCGCUCCCCUGUGGCUGGAAUCGAGCAUACCUUCAUGAAGCCAGAAGUUGGAAAAUGUUAAAUUGCCUCUGUGUCUAUACAUGCCAUAUGUCUAAUGGCAUUGAAUGUUUGCCAUGUAUAUGUACCAUAGUGAUCCGCCCUGAGUCCACUUCGAGAUGAGAAGGGUGGAAUAUAAAUAUUGUAAAUAAAUAAAUACCAUGACAUCAACUGUG